GAUGAACGCUGGCGGCGUGCCUAAUACAUGCAAGUCGAGCGAACAGACGAGGAGCUUGCUCCUCUGACGUUAGCGGCGGACGGGUGAGUAACACGUGGAUAACCUACCUAUAAGACUGGGAUAACUUCGGGAAACCGGAGCUAAUAGCGGAUAAUAUAUUGAACCGCAUGGUUCAAUAGUGAAAGACGGUUUUGCUGUCACUUAUAGAUGGAUCCGCGCCGCAUUAGCUAGUUGGUAAGGUAACGGCUUACCAAGGCAACGAUGCGUAGCCGACCUGAGAGGGUGAUCGGCCACACUGGAACUGAGACACGGCCCAGACUCCUACGGGAGGCAGCAGUAGGGAAUCUUCCGCAAUGGGCGAAAGCCUGACGGAGCAACGCCGCGUGAGUGAUGAAGGUCUUCGGAUCGUAAAACUCUGUUAUUAGGGAAGAACAAAUGUGUAAGUAACUAUGCACGUCUUGACGGUACCUAAUCAGAAAGCCACGGCUAACUACGUG
rnacentral:rRNA from 1 species